GGAGCACGUGGGGGAGCCACGGGAAGAGUCCUCACGCAGCACACGUCCCCGGGCCCUGCCCGCCAGACGUGGGACCCAAGGUCUCCGCAGACAGCUCUCCGCUGGUUCCCAGAGGCUGACCUUCUUCAAGGUGCCCGCAGGCAUCUCCUGGGCGGUCUUGGUGCAGAGCGAAAGGCAACCAGAGGCGCAGCCUGGCCGCGGCCCAGCCCCAGGCACCACGACGCCUUGACCUUGGGCGAGUCCCUGAGCGCUCUGGGGAAUCCCAGCCGGAGACCCCCGGGCCCUGCUUCUCCUGGUACUUGACGCCCGGAGAGGCCGCCGGCAGCCAGCCCGGACGCUAGCAAAGCCCGCAGGAAGCGCGAACCGACGGUACGUGAGAGACUUAAAAACCACUGCGAGUCAGAAUCACGCAAAUGAAAACAACGAAGACUCCACCUUCCACUCCCCCCAACACACCCGGAUAAUCCAAACAGAGAGAGUGACAGCAGCCAGUGCCGGCUGUGGGGCGGAAUGCGGGCGGGCAGGCAUCCGCCGCUGUGGGUUGCUACAUCCUUUUCGGAGAGUAAUUUGGCAGUAUCCGCUGGAAUUUAGAAUGUUCGCACUCCGUGACCCUGUGACCCCACUUCUAGGAAUUCAGCCCGCAGAGAGAUCCGGCCGCGUUUCUCUUCGCAGUCGGACCGAAAGAUGCACACCGGGAAACACUCGCACAAAGCAGCGUGGAUGCAGCUCGAUGCCCAUCACCUGGACCCUGGCCGGGGCAGGGGGCCUGUGCCCGGGGUGGAAUCGUACACGGCUAUUCCAACAGAGUGUCCCUCGUGCGGCUCAGCCGGUUGGGGGUUCAAAAAAUAAAAAAAAAGUGAGCCACAGCUUCUGUGGUUCCUCUCCGUCACAGUAGCUCUGAGACUGAAGCAA